GGUUAAGUUAGAAAGGGCGCACGGUGGAUGCCUUGGCACUAGGAGCCGAUGAAGGACGGGACGAACACCGAUAUGCUUCGGGGAGCUGUAAGCAAGCUUUGAUCCGGAGAUUUCCGAAUGGGGAAACCCACCACUCGUAAUGGAGUGGUAUCCAUAUCUGAAUACAUAGGAUAUGAGAAGGCAGACCCGGGGAACUGAAACAUCUAAGUACCCGGAGGAAGAGAAAGCAAAUGCGAUUCCCUGAGUAGCGGCGAGCGAAACGGGACCAGCCCAAACCAAGAGGCUUGCCUCUUGGGGUUGUAGGACACUCUGUACGGAGUUACAAAGGAACGAGGUAGAUGAAGAGGUCUGGAAAGGCCCGCCAUAGGAGGUAACAGCCCUGUAGUCAAAACUUCGUUCUCUCCUGAGUGGAUCCUGAGUACGGCGGAACACGUGAAAUUCCGUCGGAAUCCGGGAGGACCAUCUCCCAAGGCUAAAUACUCCCUAGUGACCGAUAGUGAACCAGUACCGUGAGGGAAAGGUGAAAAGCACCCCGGAAGGGGAGUGAAAGAGAUCCUGAAACCGUGUGCCUACAAGUAGUCAGAGCCCGUUAACGGGUGAUGGCGUGCCUUUUGUAGAAUGAACCGGCGAGUUACGAUCCCGUGCAAGGUUAAGCAGAAGAUGCGGAGCCGCGCGAAAGCGAGUCUGAAUAGGGCGAAUUGAGUACGUGGUCGUAGACCCGAAACCAGGUGAUCUACCCAUGUCCAGGGUGAAGUUCAGGUAACACUGAAUGGAGGCCCGAACCCACGCACGUUGAAAAGUGCGGGGAUGAGGUGUGGGUAGGGGUGAAAUGCCAAUCGAACCUGGAGAUAGCUGGUUCUCUCCGAAAUAGCUUUAGGGCUAGCCUCAAGGUAAAAGUCUCGGAGGUAGAGCACUGAUUGGACUAGGGGCCCCUACCGGGUUACCGAAUUCAGUCAAACUCCGAAUGCCGAUGACUUAUCCUUGGGAGUCAGACUGCGAGUGAUAAGAUCCGUAGUCGAAAGGGAAACAGCCCAGACCGCCAGCUAAGGUCCCAAAGUAUACGUUAAGUGGAAAAGGAUGUGGAGUUGCUUAGACAACCAGGAUGUUGGCUUAGAAGCAGCCAUCAUUUAAAGAGUGCGUAAUAGCUCACUGGUCGAGUGACUCUGCGCCGAAAAUGUACCGGGGCUAAACGUAUCACCGAAGCUGCGGACUGUUCUUCGAACAGUGGUAGGAGAGCGUUCUAAGGGCUGUGAAGCAAGACCGGAAGGACUUGUGGAGCGCUUAGAAGUGAGAAUGCCGGUAUGAGUAGCGAAAGAGGGGUGAGAAUCCCCUCCACCGAAUGCCUAAGGUUUCCUGAGGAAGGCUCGUCCGCUCAGGGUUAGUCGGGACCUAAGCCGAGGCCGAAAGGCGUAGGCGAUGGAUAACAGGUUGAUAUUCCUGUACCACCUCCUCACCAUUUGAGCAAUGGGGGGACGCAGGAGGAUAGGGUAAGCGCGGUAUUGGAUAUCCGCGUCCAAGCAGUUAGGCUGGGAAAUAGGCAAAUCCGUUUCCCGUGAAGGCUGAGCUGUGAUGGCGAGCGAAUUAUAGUAGCGAAGUUCCUGAUUCCACACUGCCAAGAAAAGCCUCUAGCGAGGUGAGAGGUGCCCGUACCGCAAACCGACACAGGUAGGCGAGGAGAGAAUCCUAAGGUGAUCGAGAGAACUCUCGUUAAGGAACUCGGCAAAAUGACCCCGUAACUUCGGGAGAAGGGGUGCUCUGUUAGGGUGCAAGCCCGAGAGAGCCGCAGUGAAUAGGCCCAGGCGACUGUUUAGCAAAAACACAGGUCUCUGCGAAGCCGUAAGGCGAAGUAUAGGGGCUGACGCCUGCCCGGUGCUGGAAGGUUAAGAGGAGCGCUUAGCGUAAGCGAAGGUGCGAAUUGAAGCCCCAGUAAACGGCGGCCGUAACUAUAACGGUCCUAAGGUAGCGAAAUUCCUUGUCGGGUAAGUUCCGACCCGCACGAAAGGCGCAACGAUCUGGGCACUGUCUCAACGAGAGACUCGGUGAAAUUAUAGUACCUGUGAAGAUGCAGGUUACCCGCGACAGGACGGAAAGACCCCGUGGAGCUUUACUGCAGCCUGAUAUUGAAUGUUGGUACAGCUUGUACAGGAUAGGUAGGAGCCUUGGAAACCGGAGCGCCAGCUUCGGUGGAGGCAUCGGUGGGAUACUACCCUGGCUGUAUUGACCUUCUAACCCGCCGCCCUUAUCGGGCGGGGAGACAGUGUCAGGUGGGCAGUUUGACUGGGGCGGUCGCCUCCUAAAAGGUAACGGAGGCGCCCAAAGGUUCCCUCAGAAUGGUUGGAAAUCAUUCGCAGAGUGUAAAGGCACAAGGGAGCUUGACUGCGAGACCUACAAGUCGAGCAGGGACGAAAGUCGGGCUUAGUGAUCCGGUGGUUCCGCAUGGAAGGGCCAUCGCUCAACGGAUAAAAGCUACCCCGGGGAUAACAGGCUUAUCUCCCCAAGAGUCCACAUCGACGGGGAGGUUUGGCACCUCGAUGUCGGCUCAUCGCAUCCUGGGGCUGUAGUCGGUCCCAAGGGUUGGGCUGUUCGCCCAUUAAAGCGGUACGCGAGCUGGGUUCAGAACGUCGUGAGACAGUUCGGUCCCUAUCCGUCGCGGGCGCAGGAAAUUUGAGAGGAGCUGUCCUUAGUACGAGAGGACCGGGAUGGACGCACCGCUGGUGUACCAGUUGUUCUGCCAAGGGCAUCGCUGGGUAGCUAUGUGCGGACGGGAUAAGUGCUGAAAGCAUCUAAGCAUGAAGCCCCCCUCAAGAUGAGAUUUCCCAUUCCGCAAGGAAGUAAGAUCCCUGAAAGAUGAUCAGGUUGAUAGGUCUGAGGUGGAAGUGUGGCGACACAUGGAGCUGACAGAUACUAAUCGAUCGAGGACUUAACCAA
rnacentral:rRNA from 1 species